rnacentral:rRNA from 1 species
UACGGAGGGUGCAAGCGUUAUCCGGAUUCACUGGGUUUAAAGGGCGCGUAGGCGGUCUUGCAAGUCCCGUGUGAAAUCCCUCGGCUCAACUGAGGAAUUGCACGGGAAACUGCUUGGCUUGAGAUCGGGAGAGGGAAGCGGAAUUCCGGGUGUAGCGGUGAAAUGCGUAGAUAUCCGGAGGAACACCGGUGGCGAAGGCGGCUUCCUGGACCGACACUGACGCGAGGCGC